GCUAUAAAAUUCCGAAUAGACACCAACGGAUACUUCCACCAGACGCCUCAACAGUUAUUCCUCAAUAAUUGAAUCUUUUUCUCUCUUUGAACCAGAUUCAUGGUAGUGCUACCCAAACAAUCUCCCUGCUUCUAUGUAGGCUACCAUAAUUCCACUAUAAAGCUCAGCCAAAUCAUUGACGAAAUUGUCUGUUCAGGAAUUCAACUUUAUGGCAGGAAAUUGAACCUCCAACUGAUACCUGGUGAUGGUGAGCUUAGAACAGAUAUGACUAGAGGUAUGAAACUAAUACAUGAGUUCUGUGAUCUCUUGGUUAUAUCGGAGAAAUCCAGAAAGACCAGAAUCGGGCAAUCUAUCAAACUUGCAUCAAACCUUUCAGUUUCCCGGGAGGCUAAUUAUGUGAAAUUUUCAAGAUAAUCAAUUUUUAGAGGAUCUUAUUUUAAAUUUGGACUAUUUGACAAAGCCUUCCUUUUUCGAGUAUUCUAGUUUCACUGAAAAGGUCAAAAUGGCUGACCAUGUCAAGCAAGAAGAUGAACUCUUAAUAUUCACGAUCCAUAUUUUAAUGUUAAUGAGACACUUGUCGUGGAAGAGCUACACAUAGCAACAGUGUCGAAAACUUCCAGAAAACUGAUUAUAUUCAACCAAGAUCUUGAUCGAAUAUGAUCUGCGGAUUAUCUGCUAUUCAUCUAUCCAAAGCUAGCUGCACUUUCCAACAUUCUUUUUCCUGAGAUGGAGAUGGUAUAUUACGUUCACAAUUUUAGAGGACGAAAUGGACAAAUCCUAUUAAUUAGAUGUUACCCUGGUCCUUGGAAUGUUUUUCGAAGAGUAGGAAGUGCCUACAUCUGCUUGCAUCUUCAGGAAUCAAUGCCAUCCUUGAAAAAAGUUGCUUUAGAAAUUCUUUCAUUAGCUUGAUUGUUUCGUUUUUAAAUUACACAACAAGAAUAUAAUGUUUAGUUUGCCUUCUUUCUCCAGUAAUUUGAAGGAAGAAAAACUUUUUAUAUCUAUCUUCUAUGCUUUACAUUCCAAUUGGGUUUGAGACUGGAGUUGGAUAAUUACUUACUGAUUCUAACUAUGUAUUUUACUUUUUUUAUCCAAAUUGUUGAUGACUGUGUUUUCUUAUAUCAUCUCGAUAUAUACCCCAAAAUCAAUGUGUUCCAUACCGAAGCUCCAGAAACAGCUUUACUUGAACUGAAGGGUUGCAGUGUGCUAUCUGAAGCAUUCAUUGAUUUCCUUCUCUUAGCCUCUUUUGAUGCUUCAUUCUACACAUUGCAUGCUUUGUCUUACCUGUCAUACUUACAUAUUUAUUUUAGUUAUUUCACAUCUCAUUAAUUUCUACAUAUGUGAAGCCAAAUAAACGAUGGUUGUAUAUGUUCCAUGAUGUCAUCAUGCUUCCUCAUAAAGUCAUUAGUAUCAGUGUCAUGUCCAUAUGUUGGUGGUGAUAGACUCCUCUCUUUGCAUUCCUUGGGGUGUACUUUGCUAUACUUUACCUUUUUGGUUAACUUGCAGUCGUUUAUGAAUCAUUCUUACAAGGUAAAGGAAGGAUAAUAAAAAAUGUGACAAGACCUAAAGUCUGUAAACAAGUCAAAAAAUGAAAAAGAAGUAAUAAUCACAACUGUGACUAGAAUGAGAGUCUAUUUAGACUCAUAUUUUAUACUGUCGAAAAGUUCUAAAGAUGUUUAAAUAAACAACUAUGUGAAAGAAUCAAGCUACAAUUGAGUAUGUGUGCUUCCAAAGCCUAAAUUCAUGGUGAAAAGGGAACAAAUAGGGCUUUGAAAUAGGAGAGUGUUGAAUGGUUAUUAUAGUUUAAUGUUAUCUGCAUAUGUUCUCGCCUAUUAUUACAUGGAUAGAUAUAAUGACUUCACGAGAUAUAACCUUAAAUAUGUGGUAAAAUACAAAUACUUACACAUUUGGAUAUUAGUUUCUUAACUGCAUUACUAUAAAUUUAGCUUAUCCUAAAGAUUAUUUACUCUUGUGCGUAAGUCGAACAUUUUGUUUGGUGAUGCGGGAUAUUGCAUCACUUGGGACUAUAGCAGUUUAGAUCAAGUCCUCCUCUUAAUUUGCUUCUAAUUAGCUUAGAAGACGAGAUCACUUCCAACCUUGAAUACCACAUUUUUUGCUCUUUUUCUUGUUUCCAGUUUACAUGAUAAUAAGAACACAUUAUCAUAUAGUUACACUUUCUACAUAGCAGGUACGUGUUAUACUUUUGAUAUAAUUCUGUUAUCUAAGAAGAUAAUUUUCUUUCCUUUUGGUGCAAAGCUCCUGCGCUAAGAUGUUUUGUCAAAGUUAUUGAAUCUUCACUAAUCAAAGUCCUUAUAUUUAUCAGAUCUUCGUUAGUCAAAACACUGAAUUUUCAAUUAAUACGUAUGCAAGUAGAGUAUUCUUCUACUUACAAUCGAGCUAGAAAUAUUGUCAAAACAAUAUUGAAAUUUGACCUAACCUAUUUGAUAACUUUGUUCUACUUUCAUAAAAUAUCUAUUUGGCAAGGAUUAGUGCUUUAAACCAG